rnacentral:rRNA from 1 species
UACGUAGGGUGCGAGCGUUAAUCGGAAUUACUGGGCGUAAAGCGUGCGCAGGCGGUUUUGUAAGCCAGAUGUGAAAUCCCCGGGCUUAACCUGGGAAUGGCAUUUGGGACUGCAAGGCUGGAGUGUGGCAGAGGAGACUGGAAUUCCUGGUGUAGCAGUGAAAUGCGUAGAUAUCUGGAGGAACACCGGUGGCGAAGGCGGCAUCCUGGACCGGUAUUGACGCUGAGGCGCGAAAGCCAGGGGAGCAAACGGG